GAGUUUGAUUAUGGCUCAGAUUGAACGCUGGCGGCAGGCUUAACACAUGCAAGUCGAACGAUGAUUACUAGCUUGCUAGUAUGAUUAGUGGCGAACGGGUGAGUAAUGCUUAGGAAUCUGCCUAUUAGUGGGGGACAACAUUCCGAAAGGAAUGCUAAUACCGCAUACGUCCUACGGGAGAAAGCAGGGGAUCGCAAGACCUUGCGCUAAUAGAUGAGCCUAAGUCGGAUUAGCUAGUUGGUGGGGUAAAGGCCUACCAAGGCGACGAUCUGUAGCUGGUCUGAGAGGAUGAUCAGCCACACUGGGACUGAGACACGGCCCAGACUCCUACGGGAGGCAGCAGUGGGGAAUAUUGGACAAUGGGCGAAAGCCUGAUCCAGCCAUGCCGCGUGUGUGAAGAAGGCCUUUUGGUUGUAAAGCACUUUAAGUGGGGAGGAAAAGCUAAUAAUUAAUACCUAUUAGCCC
rnacentral:rRNA from 1 species